AGAACGAACGCUGGCGGCAUGCCUAACACAUGCAAGUCGAACGAGACCUUCGGGUCUAGUGGCGCACGGGUGCGUAACGCGUGGGAAUCUGCCCUUAGGUACGGAAUAACAGUGAGAAAUUACUGCUAAUACCGUAUGAUGUCUUCGGACCAAAGAUUUAUCGCCUAGGGAUGAGCCCGCGUUGGAUUAGCUAGUUGGUGGGGUAAAGGCCUACCAAGGCGACGAUCCAUAGCUGGUCUGAGAGGAUGAUCAGCCACACUGGGACUGAGACACGGCCCAGACUCCUACGGGAGGCAGCAGUGGGGAAUAUUGGACAAUGGGCGAAAGCCUGAUCCAGCAAUGCCGCGUGAGUGAAGAAGGCCUUCGGGUUGUAAAGCUCUUUUACCCGGGAAGAUAAUGACUGUACCGGGAGAAUAAGCCCGGCUAACUCCGUGCCAGCAGCCGC
rnacentral:rRNA from 1 species